rnacentral:tRNA from 1 species
GGGGUUUAGCUCAGUUGGGAGAGCACCUGCCUUGCAAGCAGGGGGUCACGAGUUCGAAUCUCGUAAUCUCC